rnacentral:rRNA from 1 species
UACAGAGGUCCCAAGCGUUGUUCGGAUUCACUGGGCGUAAAGGGUGCGUAGGCGGUCGGGUAAGUCUGAUGUGAAAUCUCACAGCUUAACUGUGAAACUGCAUUGGAUACUAUUCGGCUUGAGAGUUGGAGGGGGGACUGGAAUACUUGGUGUAGCAGUGAAAUGCGUAGAUAUCAAGUGGAACACCUGUGGCGAAAGCGGCGCACUGGACCACAACUGACGCUGAUGCACGAAAGCUAGGGGAGCAAACAGG